rnacentral:lncRNA from 1 species
GGUUUUAAACGCUAGUUGAUCCUAGGUGAAAAUUGUAAUUUCUUAGAAGAACAAAUUCUUUUGUUUGUUUUUUUAUUUCUUUUGGCCGUUCCUGGCCCUUUGAUGUGAUUUUCCAUCAAUGAUUCAGUAUAUAAUGCGAGUUUGACGUCAUACGUUUUCCAUAAAGAUAUCGCUGACUAUUUUCAUCCCAAAGAGGUAAUUAAUCUUGCAAAACAGGUAGACAGUUCCAGAAAAGUGGACUAAGAAUAAUUUUCUACUGUUGACAAGCAUAGAUUCGAAAAUCCGUAUAUACCAAAGGAACCUAAAUAAUUACAAUAUUAUUCCAAACUUGUUGAAACAAAAUGUUCGAUGAAAUUGGAGAAGAGAAAUCAUCUCGCUGCUCUAUGUACGUCUAUAAAUAGUGGCUUCAAGAAUACUCAUCAUCAUCUCAUCACCAACCUUCUGGUACUUCUCUAACCCCAUACAUACAUCUAAUCAUAUAGUUCUCCAAUAUAUAAAAAGAUGUUGAGCUAAAACUACAAUGAUCACCAAACUUGGUAUUUUUAUCAAGAUCUUGAUAGUCGCUAGAGGUAUUUAUUAUUCAUCUUUUAUAGCAUUUAGUGAUCUUUUCAAUCAGGAUUCUGUAGUCGACCUUUAACGUUUGGUAGGCGUUGAUAGUGUUGACAGAAGAUAGAGAGCACAGAUGAUGAGAUGCAAUUUGGAGCAGCUUGUAUGCAUCGUACUCCUUUGUGCUCUCUAGUCUUCUGUCAUCACUCGUUACUUGCCUUAACCCACCGUAUAUAUAACCUAUUUUUUUAUUCAUGACUUAAUUACUAUUUGAAACUAUAAAGAAUACACAGUUUAGCCCUAAACAUGUUUUGAUCAAGAAAAACUGAACUUGCAUGAUCAUAUGUUCUAAUAUUGAUAUAUAUUAUGUGUUCUUUAUUGAGUUGUCUAACAUUCAAAUUUGGUUCGAGAGGUAUUUUAAUUAGCUAUAUCCAAAUCGUUUUUAGAGUGAAAGAUUAGUGAUCAAUUUUUAGUUUUGAAUCCUAUAUGAUAUAUAUAGUGAAUAUGAUAUUGGAGUUGGUUACCUUUAAUCAUUUUAGGUUUUUUAGAGUUGCUCUUAGUUUCUUUCCUUCCAUUAGCGGCGCUACUCAUGAGUCAAAGUCGAACAGAUAGACUGCGCAUAGCGUAUACAAAAAUCUGAAAUAAAUAUGAGAAUAUACAUAGAAUAUAUUUAAUAUACAUAGAGCUGGAAAUCAUUCAAACUCUUCGGUUGUGCUUUUCGGACUUCAAGAUCAGCUAUUUUCCAAGGACGUAAAACGAUAUUGCAGAUUCGCUAGUUAGGAAUGCACGUUCUUUUCAUAGAUCCCUAUGUUUUAUUGGUUGUUCUAUUCCGGUCUAGCUACCCAGACCACCUCAAGUUUGAGUAAUAGAAUAACCGUUUGCUGCCAAAAAUAUAUAUAUAUAUGUAUAUAUAUAUUUUUUAAAAAAUAUUUAUAUAUUAACCACCAAACUUUUAAAAAUUUCAUUUGAAUUAUUCAAUAAUCAAAGUUAAAAUAUUUCCUCCACAACACAUCUAAUUCAAAAUACAAGAAAGAGGAUUAAUUCGAAUUCAAAGAAUACACAUCAACAAUAGUUUUUGAACACAGCUAAGAAAUGAAGUAAAGAACACUAAAACUUAAAAAUCAGAAAUGGAAUAAAGAACACUACUGACCGAUUGAACAAAACUCAUAAAUGGAAAAUAGAAUCAUGCUUAUGCAAAUGGCAGGGGAAGAUCACUAAAAUAAUGAAUAAACUAUGAACAGAAGCAUAAGAGAUUGUUAACUCUAGUUCACAAAAUCAAUGGAGGUUAAUGAGCGAUGACCUCGAUUCCAUCUGAUUUCCCCUCUACUUAGUUAUCACUUUCCCCUUCACUUCUCACUUUCCCUUUUUCGUCACCAACAAAAAAAUAGGAUUCUUCAAAUGUAAAUUGAAGAGAAAGAGGAGAAAAAGGAUUGGGCUGAAUAGUUUAAUACACCGAAAGUGACUGUUUAAAUAUCUAAACGAAGACAUAUGAACAAAAUAUUCUUGACCAAUGAAAGUUGAUGUUAGGAGUUUAUGAACAAUCAAACUUGUAUAGAUGGCAUGUUUGUGUUGUUGGAUUCAACGGAAGUUAGUCUUCACCUAUCUAAACAUAAGAAUUAGUACUUCUCCUGGCUAAUCUAGUUAAAGAAGUUUCGGUUCGAAAAUAGUUCUAAUCAUAUUCCGUGUCUUGCAGAUAUUUCAUGAAUUUUGUUUCUCAAGUAUUUCUUGCGGCCAAACGCUUUUUUCUCCAGUUUAAAUUUCGUUUACAUUUUCUUUUUUACAUUCUUUGUAAUUAGAAACAACAAAAACAAACCAUUUUGUAUCUCAUAGAUUCAUAAUGUAACUUUAGUAUUUUAAGAUUCAGUCUCUAAAUACUACCACGAACUAUUGUGCACUUCUGGUAUAUAAAUAUAGUCAAAAUCUGAUCACAUCAUAAUCACAAUUCUCAUUCGUCAUGGAGUUUCGUUCAUCAUAUCAUAGAAACGCAGAUGUAAACGCAAAUAAACAUUUGUGGCCUCCUAAAUUAAAUUUGUAGAAACUUGUACAUCAACCGAAAAUUUUGUCUGGUUAUGGCAAAACAUUAAGUCACAACAUCAUAUAAAUAGUAGGCUACGUUAUAUAAUGACAUUUCACAGAGCAAACCCGCAUGAAACAUGUCUAUACGAAACUCAUCAGUUUUCAAAAGGCCCCCUGCUAUGUUCCUAUAUUUUGAUGGCUAAACAACAGUGAUAUGUCAUCUGCUAUGUUCCUAUAUUUUGAUGGCUAAACAACAAUGAUAUUUCAAAGCUCAAGUGUAAGCAAAUAACAAAGAAUGAAUGGAUGCAUUAAGCUCACAGGUCACUGGACAAUAAGGUGACACUUGAUCUAUAAGGUUAAGAGAACCAAAGACAUGAGGUAACACCCAGACGUGAGAUGCUACAUUAGAGUAACAAACUUUGUUAAGGAAUAAGUAUCACUUAGAAGGAGCAUUAACGUUCCGUUAAGUUCACUACAUAACUGGAAAACAGGUAACUCAGAAAGAGGUUAAGAAUUGUGUUGUGAAAUCAAAUACUAACUCUACAGCAAAUAGCUCGUGAAGGCCACACAUCAUCUAGUAGAAGAGCAUGAUAACUAGAAGUGAUUACUAUAAUAGGAAAUUUAACUCUUCAGUUCACAGAAUGCAUCUACACAUAAAGGUUCUCAGUACAACUAGCUGAGCUACAGCGUUCUGUUGUAGACCCUAAACAGAGCAACUCAACACAUAAGAAAGGUAUCAUCCAACACAGUUACUGCAUUCUCAGUGUGAGUUCACUAUGUAAGAUAAAAAGUAAGCUAAGUGAGGCAUGACAAGAUAUUCUACAAACUUCAUCAUUCGUGUAAGUUGAAACUUAAGGAAGUAGUUGCAGAUAAACUCAAAGAUGCACAUCUAAACUCAAAGAUGCAUAUCAUCAUAUGACUUAAGACUAUGUUCGUUUCACAACAGACCAAGUUAAUCCUUUCUCAUGUUCAGUAGAUCAACAAAAACUACACCACUGGUUUCUUGUGAAACGAACAUAGUCUUAACAUGAGAAAUCAAAACCAGUGGUCUAAUCCCAACACAAAUAGUUCACAAUGUCUACUUUUACACUAGACUCAUAACUAUCAACAAGUCAAGAAACCAAAACGCCCUAAAAUCAAAUCAAACAGAACACAGAAGAUUGAAUCAGUCACUUGUAAGAAAGUUGCAUACUUUAGACACAAAGUUAAAAACUUUAAUCAUCUCCAUCCGUAAUUAUAUUCCUUUAACCGUAUCAACAUUUAUUUAACAUCGUUCCCUUUCUACCAUUCAAUUACCCAGAAAAAAAAUUACGAUAUUUAUAUAGGUAUCAAAUCUGUACAAAUUAUUAUUACCCCUUUUUAUUAUGUAUAACCUUUGCUCUUCCCAGAUCAGUGAGUGAGAAGCAUCCUCUCUUGAUCGGUGAGUGAGUGACGGAAGUGGCAACGGUGGCCGUAAGGGCACGUGGAUCCGGUGACGAUCAUACGGCAGACUUCCGUUUUGUAGCGCGGGUGCCUUAUCACCGGACGG